rnacentral:rRNA from 1 species
CAGUCGCCACGGUAAUACGAAGGGUGCAAGCGUUAAUCGGAAUUACUGGGCGUAAAGCGUGCGUAGGUGGUGGUUUAAGUCCGUUGUGAAAGCCCUGGGCUCAACCUGGGAAUUGCAGUAGAUACUGGAUCACUAGAGUGUGGUAGAGGAUAGUGGAAUUUCCGGUGUAGCAGUGAAAUGCGUAGAGAUCGGAAGGAACAUCUGUGGCGAAGGCGACUAUCUGGGCCAACACUGACACUGAGGCACGAAAGCGUGGGGAGCAAACAGGAUUAGAUACCCCCGUAGUCCCUGUCUCUUAUAC